CAAUCAGAGCUCAAUAUUAAACUACUGUGGAAAAAUAAAAGCUGCCCUGUGAUUGGCUGCUGUGGCCAAACAGGUCAAGCUUACUCUCUCUCUCUUGUUUGGAUAACUAAGGCCUAAUGGCCUUGUUACCCAUAGCAACCAAUCAGAUUCCAGCUUCCCUCUUUCUGCUGCAGGUUAGAAAAUACAAGUUAAAAAAAUGGCCUCCAUGAGAAAAAAACAACAAAAAAACUUGUUACCCAUAGCAACCAAUCAGAUUCCAGUUUCCAUCUUUCCACUGCAGGUUAGAAAAUACAAGCUGGAAUCUGAUUGGUUGGAAUGGAAAAUGCAGUUUAGCAGAAAAAUAGGACCUGCUUGCCCAUAGCAACCAAUCAGAGCUCAGUAUUAAACUGCUCUGGAAAAAUUAAAGCUGUGCUUUGAUUAGUUGGUAUGGGAAACAAGGUCAAGUUUUCCCUUUUAUUUUCUCUCUUUUGGCUUUGUUGCAGAUGGAAACCAAUCAGAACUCAGCAUUAAACUGCUGUGGAAAAAUGAAAGCUGCACUGUGAUUGGUUGCUAUGAGCAACAAGGCCUAGUGCGUUUGUAUGUAACCUCGCCACUGCCCCAUUCCCGCCAUAUCCGUGCCAAGCAUGGCAGACGUCAAGACCUAGCUCUGGCCUUAGAAAUAAAACACUAUAGACAAACCAACAGCUUUUACAUAGUAAAAAUAAAUAAAUUAAAAACACUGAGAAUUUUUUUUUUACAGACUGGUCAUAUCUGACAGACUUUUGUGCCCAAGCAGGCUUCCACUCCUGGUAGGCUGGUUGGAAUAUGGGGGUACAUACCACGGCAUUUGUCUUGUGAUGAAUGCAGAAACACAGGGAGAUUCAUAUAGAAACAAGUGGUGGUGAUGAAUUGGAAAAAAAAAA